rnacentral:rRNA from 1 species
GGGUCAGGAGGUUGGUCGUGCCACCGGUACGUACUGGUCUCACUGAUUCCUCCUUCCUGAAGAACCGUAAUGCCAUUAAUUUGGUGUUGCGGGGAAACAGGACUGUUACUUUGAAAAAAUUAGAGUGUUUAAAGCAAGCUAACGCUUGAAUACGUUAGCAUGGAAUAAUGAAAUAGGACGAUCGAUCCUAUUUUGUUGGUUUCUAGGAUUGACGUA